GAAUCUUCAUUCUUGUAAUUAAUUGAUAGCAAAAGAUUCUUUUUACUAUCAAAUUUUUAACCCUUUGAUGAGAAAUUGUAGGGUUAGGAUGAUAUUAGUUUCUUAGGGUUGAGUGGUCCCUUUAGGAUUGAGUCAUCCCCACUCGGUUAUAAUAUUAAUCUAAUUGUUAGAAAUGAUGAAUAAAAUUGAUCCAAAAGCUAAAAACUUAAUAGCAAAAAAGACCUUUUGCUAUCAAUAGUAUUCUAGCCCAACUCUCUCUCU
rnacentral:lncRNA from 1 species